rnacentral:lncRNA from 9 species
GGGCCCCGGCAAGCUUGGGAGAGAAGCGAGCAGCACUUCCAUUUAUCAAAAAUGUGUGCUUUACUGGCCAGAAAAAAGAGGAAUAUAUGGGAAAGUUGAGGUUCUGGUUAUCAACGUCAAAGAAUGUGAUAACUAUACUGUUCGAAAUCUUGUCUUAAAGCAAGGAAGUCACACCCAACAUGUGAAGCAUUACUGGUACACUUCAUGGCCGGAUCACAAGACUCCGGACAGUGCCCAGCCCCUUCUACAGCUCAUGCUGGAUGUGGAAGAAGACAGACUCGCCUCCGCGGGCCGAGGGCCUGUGAUUGUCCACUGCAGUGCAGGGAUAGGCAGGACCGGGUGUUUUAUUGCUACAUCCAUUGGCUGUCGACAGUUGAGAGAGGAAGGAGUUGUGGACGCAUUGAGCAUCGUCUGCCAGCUUCGUGUGGACAGGGGUGGAAUGGUCCAAACCAGUGAGCAGUAUGAAUUUGUGCAUCAUGCUCUGUGCCUGUAUGAGAGCAGACUUGCAGCAGAAACUGUCCAGUGAUUCUCUGAAGAUUUACCAGACCAUCAGUCUCUAGGGUGAUGAAUCAAUUACCCACUUGAAGCUUCCAAAAGGAGCUUCCUGCAAUAGAAGGAAAGAGAAGCCGUGAAGCCAAGCUGGGGCGUGGAUUGUGGAAGAUGGCAACGGAUGCAAGAUUGCCAGCCUCUUGUGUAUAUGAAUGCAUUUGUAAGCAUCCCCUAAAUUAUUCUGAAGGUCCUGUGCCGAUGGAGGUAUUAUUGAUUUCUCACACAGCUAAGGAGGAUUUUGUUUUGUCUGUAUUGACUAUCUGCUGCACAGAAUAUACGUAGGAAAUACUCAGUGAUAUAUGUCAUCAGGUGAUGACUUGAAGAGCUGCUGAAGAAAUUAUUAUUGUGUAUUUAGAUGCUUUAAUGUUUGCAAAAUCUGUCUUGUGAGUGGACUGUCAGCUGUUAAAACUGUUCCUGUUUUAAGUGCUAAUUCCUUUCUCAGUUACCAGAAUCUUGCCGCUAAAGUUGCAAGUGAUUGACAAUGGAUUUUUAACAAAUAAGUCCUUGUUUUUGAAAAAAAAAAAAAUCAAAAGCAGUAACUAUUUUAUAUGGAAAUGUGUCUUGAAAAUAUUACCUAUUAUGUGUGUAUUUAUCAGUACCUCGUAUCAAUCAAUUACAGAGCACAAUGAUUGUCAUUGGAUAUAUAUGUAUUUAUUCUCUCCUAUUGGGCAUAGAGGUGGUUUCUGCUCCAAAACUCUAUCCACUGUAUUUCUACAUGGUGAGUCAUUUUACUUUCAAAGAGAAAAACAAAUUUGUAGCAACUACAGUGUAUUACAAAUUUUAAACACUUGUCUCUCUUUUACUAAGAAAUCAUUUUUGAAUAUACCAUCUACCUGGAAUCUCUCUCCCAGUAAAAGGCAGAUGCCUUUGGGAAUGAUGGAGCCUGUCCCAUUUCCAGAGGUUCUUCAAAAGGAUGCUGCCAUGGAUAUCCUUAAAUUUCUGAAAGGAUUUCAUCCUCAAGAGACAAAUGAAGUCUAAAACAAACAAACUAACAAAAAAAACAAAACCUACACUCGGCAAACACUAGAUGUUCUGCUCAAUAUGAAUUUUUAAUGCAGCUAUGUUGACUUUGUUUCCUACUGCCAAUAAACUACUCUUAAUACUAAA